AUUUUUGAUAGAAUUCCCAAAAAGCCCCUACCUUAUCUGAUUCCUCAAAACCUUCUCUUUGCACAAGAAAUCGCCAUACAAUACUCUGUCUAAUUGAAAUCCUCUGACGACCGACAGUGAGUCGGCGACGAUGAGCAGAUCGAGUGAGACAAACGUAUGACGGCAUCUUUAACUUGACUAUGCGUAGUUUUAAAAUGGUUUUCAUUUCUGUUUUGGUGGAUUUCUUCAUUUUUUUGUUUGGGUCGAAAUUUUCGAAGUUCUAUACCUUGCUUUUCGCUGGACAUGAAAUGGGUAGAUUUCACUUCCUAUUUGUGUGUGUGUGUGUGUGUGGGCUGAAUCCUCUGCGUAUAUCGUAUCAAUGCUUCAAUUAUCGGGUAAUGUAAAAUGGUUUAGUGUUUGAUUAUUUGGAGUUAGAAUUUUAUUUAUUUAUUUAUUUAUUGUGUGUGAUAGCGUAUUGAUUUUGCCUUGGGUUGCUGUAAAUUUCAUAAUUUUCUGAGCUUUUUACUGCCCUUUUUGAAAAUAUAAUUGAGGGUUUCUUGUGGAUAAACAAUGGCGUUAAACGAAGGAGAAAAAGAGAUUUGACUGGACUAACUGCUCUUAAUUUUCUCUUUAUGUUUUUGUGGACUGCAUUUGCUUUUAUAUUUUUGUAAAGAUCCUUGACGAGUUUGUUAUAUUUAGUUUGGUCUAUCAUCUAGAUUUAUGUCAAAAUAUAUGGCUGCCUUGCAUAAACUGUCGUAUAUAAUCUAAAUCCUAUUCUUCUCAUCUUGGGCCUAGUGAGAUGGUACAGUCUAACAAAGAAUACACCGAGGAGGAUCUAAGAGACCAAGUGGUUAAAAGGAUCCCAUUCGAGUCAUCCGAGCAGGGACCCUUUCACUUUCCUGGGUUACGUGGUGAUAUUGAAGCCAUUGAACGUAAUUUCUUUUGGUGGUAUCAACCAUUUCUUUGAAGCAGCCGAAGAGAUGAAGAAUGAUUUCUUUAGUGCAAUAGCGGUUCCUUUGGAAUUUCAGCAAUCAAAUGACAUUAUAUAGUUGGACAUUUCAAUUUUCAAAUCUGUGGAUGUGAAUGUAACUCUUCAACCAUUAUGACACAACUAAAUUUUUUUUACGUUGCCUGCUUCUAAAUGUGAAUACCAAUUGCCAUAAACAAUAGAAAUUCCCACAUUUUAAAUAGUCCAACCAUCAUUUUAAACAACACAUUUCAGAUUACAUAAACUGCCUGCUUCUCACUGUGAUUUCACAAACUGAAACCACAAAAAUUCCCACAUUUUUAACAACACAAAUUCCCAUAUUUCUAUCACCAAGUUAGUUCCACAUUAGUUUUCAAAUUGCCUGCUUCUCGUUGAUCAUGUUGUUGGACAUGGUUUGUGACUCUACUUCAAUCUGGAUACAUUUCUCUGCAUU
rnacentral:lncRNA from 1 species